UCGUGUGUGGGGAUUCUGGACGAUCGACAGGAGAGGAGCAAAAGGGGGUGAAAACCCUAACUCUACAAAUCCUCAAGAAUUGCUAGAAAUCUGAAGAAAUCGAAAGUAUAAUCAGCCAAUUCUAAGCUCCUACACCUGUUCUUCGAAGUGGUGUGAAGGAAGAAGGUACAAGCACUAGGAAAACGGGAAGCACGCAAGAUCGAGGUAAAUCCUCAAUUUAAGGCGAUUUGGAGAAUUGGAGCGAGCAUGUGUUCAUGGAUGGAAAUCUUGUCAAUUGACUCAAGCAUGGAUGGCAAACAGGGUAAGAGGAAGCAAUGAAGCAAGGAUGAACAUGGACGCUAAAGGCGUGAAGGAAGAAGGUACAAGCUCUAGGAAAACGGGAAGCACGCAAGAUCGAGGUCGUUAGAAUACGAGACAUGGACUUGCUAUCUGGGAGUGCUGGAGUGGUCAUGGAUCGAGGCUCUUGGAUUAACUUAUAUUUGAUACGUUGGUUUUGAGUAUUAUUAAGAAACGAUUGUUAAACGAUUUAUUGCAUGCUUCCGCUAUACAACUCUUUGGGAAUUAAUAUUAU